rnacentral:sRNA from 1 species
UUCGUCUGCACGUCGGGAGGAUGAGAAUCUCCGCAGGAGGUUUGAGCCGAACGAAGUGAGACCACGUUGCUUUAGCAACGGCCCGCAGGCGCGUAAUCUUUCUCUCGCUGACCA